rnacentral:rRNA from 1 species
UCGGAUUUUGGAGGUUGUGCCCUUGAGGCGUGGCUUCCGGAGCUAACGCGUUAAAUCGACCGCCUGGGGAGUACGGCCGCAAGGUUAAAACUCAAAUGAAUUGACGGGGGCCCGCACAAGCGGUGGAGCAUGUGGUUUAAUUCGAUGCAACGCGAAGAACCUUACCUGGUCUUGACAUCCACAGAACUUUCCAGAGAUGGUUUGGUGCCUUCGGGAACUGUGAGACAGGUGCUGCAUGGCUGUCGUCAGCUCGUGUUGUGAAAUGUUGGGUUAAGUCCCGCAACGAGCGCAACCCUUAUCCUUUGUUGCCAGCGGUCCGGCCGGGAACUCAAAGGAGACUGCCAGUGAUAAACUGGAGGAAGGUGGGGAUGACGUCAAGUCAUCAUGGCCCUUACGACCAGGGCUACACACGUGCUACAAUGGCAUAUACAAAGAGAAGCGACCUCGCGAGAGCAAGCGGACCUCAUAAAGUAUGUCGUAGUCCGGAUUGGAGUCUGCAACUCGACUCCAUGAAGUCGGAAUCGCUAGUAAUCGUAGAUCAGAAUGCUACGGUGAAUACGUUCCCGGGCCUUGUACACACCGCCCGUCACACCAUGGGAGUGGGUUGCAAAAGAAGUAGGUAGCUUAACCUUCGGCACGGCGCUUACCACUUUGUGAUUCAUGACUGGUGGUGAAUCGUAAAAAGGGAACUCGUAAACUGUUUAGGCGGGGCU